GCUUGUAUGUAUGUUUGUGUUGUUUCAUUUCAUUUCUAUUAUACCAGUGUUUUCCGUUUAUACUAUGGCAAAAUGUCCUCAGAUCAAACUUUAAAUUUUUUUUUCAUGUCAUUGUUCACCUUCCGUUGACAUAUAACUUGUACAUAUUUAGGUCUUCUAAAAUAUUUGUUUUUAUUUUUCAAGUCAUUGUGUGUAUAAAAUAAAAUGUAGAGGCAUAUUAAUUCGUCAGCAAUAAAGAAAGUCUGAAAAAGCAAAUGGCAAUAUGCUAUGAGUAUUUCAGAAAUAAAACAACAC
rnacentral:lncRNA from 1 species